CGGCCGGCGCACGGGUGAGUAACGCGUAUGCAACCUGCCCGUUUCAGCGGGAUAACCCGGAGAAAUCCGGCCUAAUACCGCAUGUGGCCGAGGGGAGGCAUCUUCUUUCGGCCAAAGGAGGCAACUCCGGAGACGGAUGGGCAUGCGUGACAUUAGCUUGUUGGCGGGGUAACGGCCCACCAAGGCGACGAUGUCUAGGGGUUCUGAGAGGAAGGUCCCCCACACUGGUACUGAGACACGGACCAGACUCCUACGGAAGGCAGCAG
rnacentral:rRNA from 1 species